UGAUAAUAAGACAUCUAUUGAUAGACUUAUUAGGAGGUAUAUGACUUGGAAAUUUCUAAUCAGUUUCAAGAAGGAAUGACACAUCGUUUCAUGGACUGGAUAGGUUUCCACUUCUUUUCCCUCUCUGUUUUAAUUUUUAUUCUUGUAGAUUGUUUGCCUUUAUAUAUCCUUUUGCUGUGAUUUUCUGACAUGCAUUAUUGGAGUUUCAGGGGGAUCAAAUUCAUCAAGAGCAAAUAAACCAACAUGGACCAGAUUAUUUGGGAUUCAUUGCAUUCAAAUUCAGUUACAAGACAACUAUCCUAGGAGGAAGUUGAAACGGUUCCAACAUCUUUAAGACAGCAUUUACAGCUGGAUAAAGGACAAGAUCCAGUGCCAAUGACCAAUCAAUUGAGCCGAUAGAACUUCUGAACAUCUUUAAGAUAGCAUUUACAGCUGGAUAAAGGACAUCUUUAAGGCGAUCGUUUUGAAUGUAGAAGACCCGUCCUUUCAGUUUCACUUUGUUUCUGGUGUUGAGAAAGAAUCGGAAUAUCCCUCGCCACAGGUUGUAGAGGAAGAGUCAGACCAUUUGUACCUUGAGGACACAGUUGAGGUGGUGGAAAAUACUUUUCCUCCGAGCUUGACACCAAAGCUCAGAUCUCAAAGGUUUAAACAUUCAGCUAAUGCUCUGGUACAUCAUUCAUCAGACCCCGAUUUUUUAGAGGACAACUUUGUUCGAGCCCUCAUUCCUCAUGAAGUUAAGAAUCCAAAGUCAAGACACUCAUCCAUAGCUUAAGUUCACUAUUCCAGGUUCGAAAAUUCCUUCGUUCAAGGUACAUUUUCUCAAGGUUACAAGAAGCAUUGGGAUCGGGAAUCGGAAGAUGAGUCCGAUGUUAGUGUCAGUAGUGAAACUUUCGACAGAGAAAACAUUAUGAUUGAAGAAGAAAUUAAUACAGAUGAUUUGGGGGAAGCAUACAGAACGCUUUUUAUGCAACAACAAGGCCCAGUAAGUGUAUCACUUCUAUCCCCUUCUCAAAUUCCAUCCAAAUUUACAUCGUUAGUUGCGGCUUGUGGUUUCCAGUAAGUGUAUCACUUCUAUCCCUUUCUCAAAUUCCAUCCAAGUUUACAUCGUUAGUUGCGGCUUGGGGUUUCCAAUUGCAGGACAUAGCAUCUCCAUCUCCUCAGGAGGUGGCUUAAUUUUGAAGAUCUUAUCAUGGAACACUAGGGGCCUUAAUGAUAAAUUAAAGAAGUCAGCCCUGAAGUCAUUCUUAUAAAUUUAACAUCCGGUUUUAGAGCGUUUUUUGUGGGAAGGUCAAAAGGCAACAAUCUAAAAAAUAGAAACAUUGUAAUACUUCUGUUUAAAUGGAAGUGGAGAUUCAUCAAAGAGUAAGAUUCAUUUUGGUGUUGGGUUGUUAAAGUGUUCUCGGCUCAGAUAAUCACCAUUGGCACAUUUCCGGCAAGCUUGGGUUGAUUUGAGAAGCCCUUGGAUUCAGCAUUUCAAAGAUUUGGAAUAAAUUAGGUUCCUUUGCACACUUAGUAAUCAGUAGGAACAUAUUGUUGAUAUGGUUUCUGUUUUCUUGGCUAAACUGUUGAGCCACUCUACAUUACCAACUCUGGGAUCAUUGUUUAUCUCCCUCCAUGUGCCCUUUGUGUCUAGCAAAUGAAGAAGUCGCAAAACCAAUUUAAUUU